CGAGUUCUAUCGGGUAAAG
rnacentral:snRNA from 1 species